rnacentral:rRNA from 1 species
GAAACGGUAGCUAAUACCGCAUAACGUCGCAAGACCAAAGAGGGGGACCUUCGGGCCUCUUGCCAUCGGAUGUGCCCAGAUGGGAUUAGCUAGUAGGUGGGGUAACGGCUCACCUAGGCGACGAUCCCUAGCUGGUCUGAGAGGAUGACCAGCCACACUGGAACUGAGACACGGUCCAGACUCCUACGGGAGGCAGCAGUGGGGAAUAUUGCACAAUGGGCGCAAGCCUGAUGCAGCCAUGCCGCGUGUAUGAAGAAGGCCUUCGGGUUGUAAAGUACUUUCAGCGGGGAGGAAGGGAGUAAAGUUAAUACCUUUGCUCAUUGACGUUACCCGCAGAAGAAGCACCGGCUAACUCCGUGCCAGCAGCCGCGGUAAUACGGAGGGUGCAAGCGUUAAUCGGAAUUACUGGGCGUAAAGCGCACGCAGGCGGUUUGUUAAGUCAGAUGUGAAAUCCCCGGGCUCAACCUGGGAACUGCAUCUGAUACUGGCAAGCUUGAGUCUCGUAGAGGGGGGUAGAAUUCCAGGUGUAGCGGUGAAAUGCGUAGAGAUCUGGAGGAAUACCGGUGGCGAAGGCGGCCCCC